rnacentral:rRNA from 1 species
CAGUCGCCACGGUAACACGUAGGGUGCAAGCGUUAAUCGGAAUUACUGGGCGUAAAGCGUGCGCAGGCGGUUAUAUAAGACAGAUGUGAAAUCCCCGGGCUCAACCUGGGAACUGCAUUUGUGACUGUAUAGCUAGAGUACGGCAGAGGGGGAUGGAAUUCCGCGUGUAGCAGUGAAAUGCGUAGAUAUGCGGAGGAACACCGAUGGCGAAGGCAAUCCCCUGGGCCUGUACUGACGCUCAUGCACGAAAGCGUGGGGAGCAAACAGGAUUAGAGACCCCCGUAGUCCCUGUCUCUUAUAC